rnacentral:snRNA from 1 species
GGUCAUGGUGUCUCUUCACAGCAAUAGAAACCCUAACUAAGACAAUUAGCUUGGCUCCUGUGCAAGGAUGACAGGCAAAUUUGUGAGGCAUUCCAUAUUUAA